ACAAAGAGAAAAACACUUAUGCAAAUAGCUAAGGCUGCUUCUAUGUGGUCUCUCUGGACACUGUCUCAACCCUGAGGUGGCAGACAUAGAAUUACUGGGUGUUGAGAGUAUUUGCCCCUACUCACAUCCCUCCCAUCAUGGAAACAUCAUGGAAAGUAAUUAGAAUUAGUAAAUAAUUGUGGUAUGCCACCUAAUUCAAUGAUGCCUCAGCACCAAUGUGACCUACUCUAAAUCCCUUAGUUUAUCACAGCAACUGCUAUCACAGAAUCACCUUAUGACAUGAUGCAAUAAGAGAUUCAGUGGAGAAAUGUAAAGGUUUAUAAAAAUUAACAAAGAACAGUCCCUGUCCUCAAAGAGCUUUUGGUCCAGUGGAGAAAAAGUGAAUAAAAAUUACUGUCACAAGUGUAACACAAUGCAAACUUUGGAGUCUGUGUUUAAACAACAACAACAAUGACAACAUUUUACAGACUCACAUUAUGAAAUACAUUUUGCAUGGCAAAACAACACAAAAAAUGUGCACAAACACUUGUACACACAACCACACCCAACACCUCAAACAAGUUUCAUGAGUGAAUACUUAGCUUUGCUAUGUGCAAACAUGCCAACAUUUUCUAUUAUCUUUUAUUCACCCUUCUUUUUAAAAUACUCCUUUCUUUACCUACUAAAUUAAUUUAAUAUCCCACUAAUGGGGCCAAUCUCCAAUUUGAAAAAGAGUGUAGAAUAUAAAUAUGAUAAUAAAACUAAAACGUGCUAUAGAAAUACACAUGAGGAUAAAUUAAUAAUGAUUAUAAGAUUAAAGAGUUGCUAUAUGAGCUAAGAAAUAAGAUAGCUGGACUUUUGGUGAGAAGAGUGGUAUCAAAAAACUUUUCAGGGAUAUGAAGCCAUGGGAGGAGAGCCUAGGAGAAUAAAUGCAAAUAUACAGGGAAUAGCGAGUCUUGCUUGCAGAGGGAAGUUGAAUGGAAGGCAGGUUGGGAUCAGACAGCAAAGCAUCUUGAUAUCUGCACAAUAAGGUGACACUGAAAUUCUCAAGCAAGUGAGGAAAAUGUCCCAUCUGUGCUUUAAGAAGAUAGGUUGACUUUGAUGGGAAGAGACAGAUGAGAGAAAUCAACCUGGAGGAGACAGACCACUAAGAGCAUUUGGAAAUAGAGAAGGUGACAACAGCUGUGCUGGGAGGAAGCAAGAAAGCAGGAGGGUGCUAAGAGGCAAAAGUCUACAAGACAUGGUUAUGUGUGGACUUGGGAGUGAGAAGCUUACUGAGAUGCUGCUGCUGUUCCUCAACUAUGUACUCUCAGCUUGGAAGCUGGGGAAAACAGCAGAGUAAGAUGGUAGUGGCCUUGUGUGGAGCACUAUGGAGGGCCAUCUAGCACCACGAUUAGAGUAUGGAUUCUGAAACCAACCAAACUGCCUGGGUUCCAAUUUCAGUUCUACUCCCUCCUGGCUAUUUGUAUUUGCAUUAUUUACUUAACCUCUACAUCCCAUAAUUCUCCUCUUAGAAAAUAAGUCCAAACUAGUUUUUACAUAAGAGGGUUCUUGUGAGACUUAAUUAGCUCAGGAAAAAAAAAAAGAGCUCAGAAUACUGCAGACUCUUUAAACUCUACUUUUCAGCUGAUAGUCAUAAUUUUUACUUCAGAAUUUUUUCUAUAACUCUGUUUAUAAUGUCCUUUUGAUUUUUUCCACUUAUGCAACACUUAAGGCUAUAACCUUUUUCUCACAUGGAUGUUUUAACUGCCCUAGCUCACUAUAGUCUUUUCUGCUUCUCAGCCUCAGUGUCUUUACAACACAGAGGUAUCAUUGUUAUGUAGCUAUCUUGUAUCAUUGAGUUUUUCAGCAGCACCUAUUCUUCCUCUUCCUCAAGCUGUCUGAUUCAUAGAAAGACAUAGAAGGACAGAGCCGUGCAAAACAACGCGAUGCCACAAUCAUCCUUACCUGAUCCUGCAAUACUGUGAGGAGGCUUGCUGUCCAUCACACUCACCCUUGUUUUAAAGUCCUCGCUGGACCUGCUUGAGUGGCGGAAGGUGUCUGUCAGAGGCUCCUCAGUAGAGGCAUUGAGGGGAUCAUCUUGCUGAGUGCUGUUCACCAUGGCGAUGAUGGCAAUGCUCAGACUCACGCGCUGGGUGAUCAUGGUGAAGUUUGAGAAGUGCAUGAUCAGAGCCAGCCCAUAGCGUAGUGAGCAGAAAUCUGCACCUAGUUGGUAAAGGGACAACCAGAACUCUGUUCCAUGGUGUCUUUGAAUAUGAAAGAAGCUAUUGUGCAUCAUAUAUAUAUUACAUGUAAAGGUUUAAAAUGCUGUUUGCUACACACCAGUUGGACACCUUACUGGGCUGACAAAAUCUUCAGUCAUCUACAGAAUUGUUGUUGUUGUUUUUUGUACCGGAGAUCGAACUCAGGACCUUGUGCUUGCAAGGCAGGUGUGGUACCACUGAGCUAAAUCCCUGGACACUCACCUACAAAAUCAUACUGAAUGGGAGAUUUUAAUUACAUUAAUGAAUAAUCCAGCUUUUUUGAUAGGCUAAGAGAAUUCAUGAUUCCAAAUAAGCAUGUUUAGUUUUAUAUUUGCAUAUUAACCAAAUUCUCCAUGGAGAUGGAUUAUAUAUAUAAUAAAAUCUACAUAUAUGUAAAAUUUAUAAAUAUAAAUAUAUAAAAAUAUAUUUGCUUCUUUUACAUAUAUAUAAAUAUAUAAUAUUUUCUGCUGCUCAGAAUAUUUUUCUGCUUCCCAAAUAGCCCACAGUUCUGAGAAUAAUGUCUACCCAUCCGAGUUUUGCAAUUCUCUCAUCUGGCAGCAAUAAUCCCAAAUCAAGCCUGCACUGCUAGCAAGGGGAGAUUAGCACCAGGACAAACGUUGGCUGUUGCUUGGCCUGGAAGGUUCCUAGGUUCUACUAGCAUCAGGAUGAUAACAGGAGUUUACUCCACUGCUCUGCACUCAGAUCCUAGCAGAAGCCAUCUGGGCAAAACUUUCGAAUUUCAUCAUUUGCUAUUUGAUUUCUCUUGUUAGGUAAGAACCCGUGACUUGGAAGAAGGCUACUUUUUAGCUUUACAUACCCCUACCAUAUUUAUACUACAUGUAAAGCCUUCCCAUCGACUUCUCCAAUGACUCAUAAGCACUGGGCUCUCAAGCUGAAAGAGACUGAGAGAUCCUCUGACCCAAAUGCUCAUUUUACAGAUAAGGAAACUAAUGUGCAGAAAGCUUGAAGAGUUACCUCAAGACACUCAGGUCACAGAACCAGCACCAGGUCUUGUAAUGCCUGGACUCCUGCUUUUUCUACUGCUACAGCUACUUCCUCUUUAUUUCCUUAAUAUUUUAAGUAUAAGCUCAAAACAAAAUAGAAUGGCUUCACAUUAAUGUGUUCUAAAUGAAAAUUCAUACAAUUUUCCAUGAAGUUUUGAUCCUUUACUCCAGAAGGAAAUUUAAUGAUGAAAAACACUUUUAAGUUGAGCUUUGAAUAUUAAACAAAAACCCUCUGCUUCUUCUUGCUUUUUCUGCUAGUGGGAUAGUAUCAUAACCCUAUUAUUUCAAUUUCUCUUUCCAUUCUCCCUUGCUGUCUAAAGGGAAAGAACAAAACACUUCACAUUGCUUUUAUAGUUUCAGUUAUUUUUAUUUGUCUCAGUAACUUUCAAUCAUUUAUUUCCUGAUCCUUUUCAUGAGACAAAUAUAGAAAUCUAGAUAAUAUCCAUUCUAAACUGGAAUGUUUCUAUGACAUAGUAAUGGAAACUAUUUUUCUAAAACAAUCACAAGAGCUUGUGAAAUUAUGGGAUGUGAGCACCAGAGUGAUUGAUAUGCACUUUGAGACAGUAGAAUAAUUCAUAGGCUAAUUGUAAACAAUUAGAACAUGAAUUUUGUCAAAACUUUCCCAUUCAGGAGUGAUGAUUGCAAAAAAACACAGUGAAUCCUAGUGUUAAAGCUGUAAGUAGACAUAGAAAAAUUGAAGUGAAAUUGUUAGAAAAAUUUUAUACUGAGUAAACAAUUUUCUGACACAGUAUAGGCUGUAUUUGAGAUAAAAUUAAUAAUAUAGACAUGGUUUAUGUAUAAGCCAAAGAAUGGUGCUUUUCCUAUUCUUAGUCUAGAACUCAUGAUUUUGUUUAGUGGCCUUUCUACACCUCUAGUUUUCACUCAACAUUCAACCUGCCUUGCAUCAUCCGUGUGAACUGAGGCUCCUGGUUUACUUAGGGUAAAUUCAAAGUUCAAAGAACAUGAUCCUUCAGACUAGAGGGGACUCGGGGCCUGAGUUCCACAUUGCCACUGUGGAUCUUCGAAAACCAGAGCAAGUUUCAUAAACUCUUCAAGCUUCAAAAGUUUCAUAGGAGAAAAUGGAGAUAAAAUAUUACCUCACAAGACUAUUUGGAGUGGAAACAAAGGUAUGAGAUAUGCCCUGUGCACUGUAAAAUAUUAUACUCUGUAAAAAGUUUAUCGAUGUGAAUAACAGCAAUAAUAACCACAGCCACUUUAGCACUUGGGCCCUUGUAAGUCCAUGAAUAAGUACAGGUUUACAACAAAUAAAAUGUGUUUUGAUUGGUUGCUAAAUUGGUUUCCUUUUUAAAGUAAUUUCUUCUGUGCUGGAAUCCACAAGAUGGAUAGGGGAGGGUUUACCUUGCCACCAAUUUCAGAGAACGUGUGAAGACGGGUUUCUGCAAAGUGAGCAGCACUAAGGCCCAGGCUGCUUUGCUAAAAGACCUGUAGUUCUGGAAUAAAAUUGGUUAAUCCAGCAUCUAAUUUUAUGGCACAUUGUUAAUUUAUUUAUGAUUGAAUCACAGCAAAAGACAAAGUGUACUGAGCCACAAUGAUGGGCAAAUGGAAAA